GUGCCAGUGACGCACUCAUUUGCAGUCGAGGAAAUCCAAGUAAAUCCAUGUGGAAUAGGUGCAAGUUAUGGAAGAUGCAGAAAGCUUUCUGUGUAUUAUUUCACAUUUCCACUUUUACUCCAAAGGAAUACCUUAACUACUACUCAUCAGUACCCCCAACAUUGGUCCAUCUCUAGCUCUGGAGGGAAUGUGCGGAUCCUCUACGCACUUGGCAUUACAACACUGCUCCCUAAAUUGAAGGACCUGGAUUCCAAGAAUGGCUAUGCGACAUCUCUGUCUGCAAGUCAGAGUGGGACUCAGGGACGGCCGCCAUCCCCUUCUGCUGCUUCAACAAGAUGAGCGCAUUGGAAGCUUGAUCACACAAAAAUAAAUUAAUGUUGUGUACAUUCAUAUAUCCAGCCCUGAAUUAAUUACCAGUGUACAUCAAUCAAAUAUGAAUUCAUCAAGUUGUGUAUUGCACCCAUCCAUUCCUACAGUCAGUCACACAUGAAUUAAAAUGACU